rnacentral:rRNA from 1 species
GACGAACGCUGGCGGCGUGCUUAACACAUGCAAGUCGAACGGAAAGGCCCCUUUGUGGUUACGUGAGUGGCUAACGGGCGGGUAACACGUGCGUAACCAGCCCUCGACUUCGGGAUAAAUACAUGAAACUGAGGCUAAUACCUGCCAGGAAGGCGUGCUUCAUGCAGGGGGUUGGAAAGAUUCGGCGGGUUUGGAGGGACGCGCGGCUUAUCAGGUUGUUGGUGGGGGAGUGGCUUACCAAGGCUUGGACGGGUAGCCGGCCUGGGGGGGGGACCGGCCACAAUGGGAAUGAGAUACGGCCCAGACUCCUACGGGGGGCAAGAGGGGGGAAUAUUGCACAAUGGGGGGGAGGCUGAUGCAGCAACGCCGCGGGCGGGAAGACGGGCUUCGGGUUGGAAACCGCUUUCAGCAUGGGAGGAGCUUGUGGUGACGGUACCUGCAGAAGAAGCACCGGCUAACUACGUG